CCCAGGCUCCCCCUAAAUACAUCUCAUGCUCCUCCAGCUGUUUGAGAUUCUCACUCAAUUACCUCUUCAUUCCCUUUAUAUUCUACCAAUAGCUGCUUCUCUCUGUUAACUCUUUCAGCCAUCACCUCCAAAUUUUCCCUGCUACUUCGUCUCAAAUCCCCACGGUAUCCUUUAAAUUGUAAGCUCACAGGCCAACUAGCUAACCCUUUGUAUAAAAGAGCAACAAUGGGUAGAUAUCAGCGUACGGGCAGGGCUCUCUCUACCUCUUGUAUUUGUCUGUGUAUAUUGUACGUUCUCCACUAAUUGUACAGCGCUGCGGAAUCUGUUGGCGCUGUAUAAAUACCAGUACUAAAUAAAUAAAUAAAUAAAUCCAACAAACAAUACUUCAGCAAAUUGGGAAAAGAAGCAUUUAUGGCUGUGAAUGGCUAUGAGUUGUCAACGUAUUUGUAGCUAGGCCAGAAAACCUAUUCGCACAGUCUGCAGGCAAAACCUAUGAACUGGAUAAGACAUCCCUCAUCUCUGCUCUUGGAAAAGAGGUUCUGCAGUAGCAUGAGAUAUCUGGGCUGAAUUACUGAAUUAUUACAGAUAAAAAGGGCUCUCCACCAUGUGCCCACGUCUGAUGGCCAUUUAAAGCCAAGUCGGAGGGUUAAACAGCCGUUUCCUUUUUCCUCCUUUGAUGUACAGUGCACAUUUCCGUUUCCUAGCAAUGUUUUUAUAUAGACUCUGCAAAAACAAAGGAGUUGUGCAACGCACUGCAAUGUCACACCUUGUGGCACUUAGCGGGUUAAAG